UUGUGGCUUUUACACUUUCACACACUAUAUCUAUAUUCUCCUCAUUUUUUUUUAUUUGUUUUUCUAUGUGUAUAAAUGAGUCUACUCUAAGUCUCCCACUCAACACAAAACAAUAAUAAAUAAUCUUAUGAUUAUUAGUCAUUACAAUUAGUAAAACAUAGAAAUUAUAGAACUCCAUCAUCAUCAUCAUGAUGUCCAACAAAUUGGUCACCUUCUUCAUCACCUUGGUUCUUCUUCUUAGCUUCAUCAGCUUAAUCCAUGCAUCUCGUCCUAACUUUGCGUCACUCAAUGGAUUCUCUUCAUUAAAUAAGGAUAUUAUUGUUGGUACUAAAGAAGCAAAAAUGGAAGGUUUGGAAGAAUAUGAGAAGAGUUGUGAUGAAGGAACUACUUCUGAUAAUGAAGAAUGCUUGAUGAGAAGGACCCUAGUUGCUCAUACAGAUUAUAUCUACACUCAGAAGCAUCAUCCAAAACCUUAAUUAAAAUAAACUAGAAUCAUCAUAUAUAUCAAUCAAACAAGAAUAAAUGGGAACAAAAAGAAUCCAUAUAUAAAUAUAUAGUUAUUUGUGUGUGUCAUUCAGGUGCAUAUCUAUACAUAUUCGUCUCUUGUUCAUAGAUAAAUAUAUUUUGUUUUGAUUUUCAUUUUCCACAUGUAAUGUAUGUAUGUAUGUAUGUAUUAUUAUUAUUAUUAUUAUUA